UAAAAUGCCACUUUAAUCAGUUCCAAACGCGUCCAUCGACUUAAAUACGGUUCUCAAUUUCCCAAAAUUUCUCCUUCCAUGAAGCUCUACAAUCCCUAGAUUUCUCAAUUCGGAGCCAUCCAUUUCCAUGCGGUUUCAUUGACGACAUCUUACAGUUUUUCAAUCGUCUUCUUCACCACCAUCUGGAAUUGCGUUUAGGUCUUUACGAUUUUUGUGAUGGAAGGUAAUAAAGAUGAUGCUUUGAAAUGUUUGAAAAUUGGGAAAGAAUCUUUGGAAGCUGGGAAUCGUACCCGUGCCCUAAAAUUUGUGAAUAAAGCUCUUCGUCUUGAUCCAACGCUUUCCGUAGACGAUCUCUUAUCGGAACUUCAGAACGGUUCCAGUGAGGAUUUAGGUGGGGAUGCUGGUGAAUCUAGGAAUAGAUCGUCUGAUAACUUUUCUUCCAAACCAUCCGAUCAGCCUUCGAUUCGUCGGAGAGUUCCUGCAUCCGGGUCUUCUGAAUCUUCGACGUCGGCAAUUUAUACAGAGGAGCAGAUUGAGAUUGUGAGGAAAAUUAAAAAGAAGAAGGAUUAUUAUGAGAUUUUGGGAUUGGAGAAGAGUUGUAGCACUGAGGAUGUUCGAAAGGCGUAUAGGAAAUUGUCUUUAAAGGUUCAUCCAGAUAAAAACAGUGCUCCUGGUGCUGAAGAAGCGUUUAAGGCUGUAUCGAAAGCGUUUCAGUGUCUAAGUAAUGAGGAGAGUCGGAAAAAGUACGAUGUUGUUGGGUCUGAUGAGCCAGUUUAUGAGAGACGGACUACAAGACAUGGUGCACAUGGAUUUAAUGGGUUUUAUGAAGGUGAUGUUGAUGCAGAGGAGAUAUUUAGAAACUUUUUCUUCGGUGGAAUGGCGCCUACGACAACACAUUUCCGUACUUUCAAUUUUGGUACUGGAAUGGGAAACAGGACAGCUGAUCAGGGCUCAGGUGGUGGUUUUAGAACUCUGAUUCAAUUGCUUCCUGUGCUGUUAAUAUUGCUUUUGAACUUCUUGCCAUCCUCAGAACCUAUAUAUGCUCUUUCCCGUUCCUACCCUUAUGAAUUCCAGUUUACCACUCAAAAGGGUGUCAAUUUUUUUGUGAAAUCAACAAAUUUUGAGGAAAAGUAUCCACCUGGUAGCCCGGAUCGUAUAGCAAUUGAUCGUCACAUAGAGAGGGAUUAUUUUAACAUUCUUGCUCAGAAUUGUCGUGUUGAGAUGCAGCGUCAGCAAUGGGGAUUUAUAAGAGAAACUCCAUAUUGUGAUAUGUUACAGAAGUUUCAGACAGCUGCUUCGUGAAUGAACUAAAGCUUUCUAUGUAGCAUGGUGGUAAGCUGCUAGUGAUUAGUGAAUGUAGCUGCUUUAAUUAUUUGCCACAGUUUGAAUGUGUUUCUUGCUAUAUGUCAGCCUUUUCUUUUAUUCGAGAUGAAACAAUUGCAGAUUUUCAAAUAUGGCUUCUACUGUUGAGUUGUAACUUCAAAGGCGAUAUUGCUUUGUCUGCCAUUAACUCAAUCAAUGUGUACAAAAAAGUGAGCGUUUUAUUUCAAAUGUUUUGCUUCUGCAUCGGAAGUUACCAUCAAAUGUCAGUCUGAUAGCUUACGGAUUAAGAUGGUUGAGUAAAACACCUGGAGACCAUGCUUUAGAUAGUGUGAUAAAUUUUACAGUAUUGAAUUAAUACUACUAAGGUGUUGUGGUGAUAUAAUUUAUUGUCUCAACUUUGAACUUUUGUUAUAUCAAUGUCGUCUAUUUUAUUUAUUUUUCAGUUUAUUUGGAUGGAUAACAACAAUUGUUAAAAGGCAAUUGUUGGAAUAAAACUGAAGAACUUCAUUGAGUAAUCAUUCAAAUGUGUAAUUCUCAGACGUAGUAGUAAAUCAAAAUACUAAACGAACUCUUUUAUUA